rnacentral:rRNA from 1 species
AUGGAGGAUUGGCUCUUCUACUCGCUCACCACCAUGCUCUGCCUCCUCAGCUCGCUGCUGCUGAGGGCCCGGGCCCGCAGCCCGUCCCAUUCCGCGACGCAGACGCCGCCGCUGCCUCCAGGUCCGGUGCCGCUGCCGGUUCUGGGCCCGCUGCUCCACCUGGCGCGUCGCGACUUCGACCUGGAGCCCGUGCUGCGGCGCCUCGCGCGGGCCUACGGCCCGGUCUACUCCUUCGCGCCAUUGGGGCUGGCGCGGCCGAUGAUAUUCGUCGCGGCGCGAGGCCCAGCCCACCGCGCCCUCGUCCAGCAGGGCGCCGCCUUCGCCUCCCGCCCGCGCGCCACCGCUCCCGCCGCCGCCGUGCUCACCAGCGGCGGCCGCAACGUCAGCUCCGCGCCGUAUGGGCCCACCUGGCGCGUGCUCCGUCGCACCCUCGCCUCCGGCGUGCUCAACCCGGCCCGCCUCCGCGCCUUCGCCCCCGCGCGGCGCUGGGUGCUCGACGUCCUCCUCUCCCGCAUCCGCUCCGGCGGCGGCGUCGUCGCCGUCAUGGAGCCCUUCCAGUACGCCAUGUUCUGCCUCCUGGUGUACAUGUGCUUCGGCGGCGAUCGCCUCGGCGACGCGCGCGUGAGGGACAUCGAGGCGCUGCAGCGUGACCUCCUCGCCAACUUCCUCAGCUUCCAGGUCUUCUCCUUCCUCCCGCCGCUCACCAAGCUUGUCUUCCGCCGCCGGUGGAGCAAGCUCGUCUCGCUGCGCCGGCGGCAGGAGGAGCUCUUCGUCCCGCUCAUCCGCGCCAGGAGGGAGGCCGGCGCUGGCGGAGACUGCUACGUGGAUUCCCUGGUGAGGCUUGCCAUCCCGGAGGAUGGAGGGAGGGGGCUCACCGACGGCGAGAUCGUCAGCCUCUGCUCCGAAUUCCUGAGCGCCGGGACAGACACCACGGCCACGGCGCUGCAGUGGAUACUCGCGAACCUGGUCAAGAACCCGGCCAUGCAGGACAGGCUAAGGGAGGAGGUCUCCGCCGCCGUCGACGGCGAGCUGCGGGAGGAGGACCUGCAGGGGAUGCCGUACCUCAAGGCCGUGGUGCUGGAGGGGCUGAGGCGGCACCCGCCGGGGCACUACGUGCUGCCGCACGCCGCGGCGGAGGAGACGACGCUGGACGGGUACCGCGUCCCGGCGGGCACGCCGGUAAACUUCGCGGUGGGCGACAUCGGGCUGGACGAGGAGAUCUGGACGGCGCCGUCGGAGUUCCGGCCGGAGCGGUUCCUGCCGGGCGGCGAGGGGGAGGACGUGGACCUCACCGGCAGCAAGGAGAUCAAGAUGAUGCCGUUCGGCGCCGGCAGGAGGGUCUGCCCCGCCAUGGCGCUGGCGCUGCUGCACCUCGAGUACUUCAUGGCCAACCUGGUCAGGGAGUUCGAGUGGCGCGAGGAGGCCGGCGAGGAGGUGGACCUCACCGAGAAGCUCGAGUUCACGGUUGUCAUGAGGCGGCCGCUCAAGGCGAGGGCUGUGCCGCUGAGGCAAGGAAGGCCCAUCGCCGCCACGUGCUCAGGUUGA